UUUCUAGCUUAUGUUUGUUGU
rnacentral:snRNA from 1 species